UGACAGUCAUGCAUGCCCAUCCUGAUCCUGUCGACUGAAUGAACCUGAACCGGAUUCAGCUAGUUCCUGACGACGCCCAUCCUCCAUCUCCGCCUCCCAGUUGUUCAAAGCGGCGGUCACUUUCCAUCCGCCGCAGCUGAGUCUUAUCUCACCCAAAAGAAUGGUUGGCGUCAACCGCCGGCCAUCCUCAGAUCAGGUCGUUCUGAAGCUGAGCUCAAGAUAAGGCGCCGGUCCUUUCGGAUUGGCCGGCCACGAUCCAUUCAGAUUCAGUUUUGCAGAAACAAUACUUGUGCUGAAUCAGAACCCCGACUUCAUCAUCUCUAUCUCUGUUGGGGGCGCUACCUUCGGAUCGCGCCGAAGGGACUGAUGACGAAGGGCGACGGCGACCCUCCACGGCUUCGUGAACAAAUCAAUGGUCUUUGAUCGGAGCCGAAGAGUCACGGAGACAAAGACCUCCCGAAGGAUCAUGGAGCGAAGCUAACCUGCGACCAAGCGGGGGAAGGUCAAAAAGUCUAGGGGUGGAAGAAAUGAGCAAGUCGAGCUGGACCCGAUGGCCGUGAUGAGUUGUAAAGGAGGCUUAGAUAUAAAAUUACUGUUUGCCUUUAGAAUAUUCUUGGAAUAUGGUUGUUGGGAGCAAAAGGUGUAAUUACGUUCGAAGGUAGGUGAACUGUCUCUAUAACCACCCUGUAACUGAUGGGACGGGUAAAAUUAUUUGGUAUGGACCGAAGGCGUCUCUUUCUUCUGUUGUGCCUUCGGGGUUCGUUCCACGAGCUGUUGGGAUGCCUUUUCGUCCCUAAGGAUACCCUCCACCAACAUUUUUGGCGCCCACCAUGGUUUGGCCUAGCAUACCGCAUGGCACCGAAAAAAAGAGUUCCAGCGCUUCGGCAAGGCAGACGGAGGAUACUCAAGCCCUCGUCCUCGUGCCGGAGCGAAAUCAGACAGGCAAUGAAGAUGUGGAAGUUGAAGAUGUUGCGGAUGGACAGUUCGAGGUUUGACUCGAGCAAAUGGGAGUGCCCGCGGAGGAUACCGCAGCCUACCAAAGGAUCUAGACAAAGGUUGGCCAAAGUGAGAACGAGACUGCGUCAAGCUGCUCGAGCGGCACAACCAUCAA